rnacentral:rRNA from 1 species
CACGUAGGGCGCGAGCGUUGUCCGGAAUUAUUGGGCGUAAAGAGCUCGUAGGCGGCCUGUUGCGUCCGCUGUGAAAGCCCGGGGCUUAACCCCGGGUCGCAGUGGAUACGGGCAGGCUAGAGGUAGGUAGGGGAGAAUGGAAUUCCCGGUGUAGCGGUGAAAUGCGCAGAUAUCGGGAGGAACACCGGUGGCGAAGGCGGGUCUCUGGGCCGUAACUGACGCUGAGGAGCGAAAGCAUGGGGAGCGAACAGG